AUGCGCAGCUAUACAUGCANUCGAACGAGAUUAGAGGCUUGCUUCUUAUGAAGUGGCGCACGGGUGCGUAACGCGUAUGCAACCUACCUUAGUCUGGGGGAUAGCCCGAAGAAAUGUCAGAUUAAGACCGCAUACAAACGCCCGAUAACAUUAUCCAAUGUUCAAAUAUUUAUAGGAUUAAGAUGGACAUGCCUGUCAUUAACUAGUUGGCGGGGUAACGGCCCACCAAGGCGACCAUGACUAGGGGAUCUGAGAGGAUGACCCCCCACACUGGUACUGACACACGGACCAUACUCCUACGGGAGGCAGCAGUAAGGAAUAUUGGUCAAUGGAGGGAACUCUGACCCAUCCAUGCCGCGUGCAGGAAGACAGCCCUCUGGGUCGUAAACUGCUUUUAUUCGGGAAUAAACCUUUCUACGUGUAAGAAGCUGAAUGUACCGAAGGAAUAAGGAUCGGCUAACUCCGUGCCAUCAGCCGCGGUAAUACGGAGGAUCCAAGCGUUAUCCGGAUUUAUUGGGUUUAAAGGGUGCGUAGGCGGCUUAUUAAGUCAGGGGUGAAAAACGGUGGCUCAACCAUCGCAGUGCCCUUGAUACUGAUGAGCUUGAAUACUCUAGACGUAGGCGGAAUGUGACAAGUAGCGGUGAAAUGCAUAGAUAUGUCACAGAACACCGAUUGCGAAGGCAGCUUACUAUGGUGUUAUUGACGCUAAGGCACUAAAGCGUGGGGAUCAAACAGGAUUACAUACCCUGGUAGUCCACGCCCUCAACGAUGAAUACUCGCUGUUAGCGAUAUACAGUUAGCGGCUAAGCGAAAGCGUUAAGUAUUCCACC
rnacentral:rRNA from 1 species